GAUCCUGGCUCAGGACGAACGCUGGCGGCGCGCCUAACACAUGCAAGUCGAACGGAGCUUGAAGAGCUUGCUUUUUAAGCUUAGUGGCGAACGGGUGAGUAACGCGUGAGUAACCUGCCCUGAAGUGGGGGACAACAGUUGGAAACGACUGCUAAUACCGCAUAAGCCCACGGCCCGGCAUCGGGCUGCGGGAAAAGGAUUUAUUCGCUUCAGGAUGGACUCGCGUCCAAUUAGCUAGUUGGUGAGGUAACGGCCC
rnacentral:rRNA from 1 species